rnacentral:lncRNA from 1 species
CUCGCUCUCUCUCUCUCUCUCUCUCUCUCUCUCUCUCUCUCUCUCUUUCACUCAAUACACACAAAUAAAAAUAAAUUUCAGUGAAAUUAGACUCUGUAUUCAUAGCAACUAAUGACUUCUCUUUGAUACAGUUUCUUACAAGAUUGAAAAUUCUUAAUCUCAGUCAUUCACAUGGCCUUUGGACAACAUCUGACUUGUCCGGACUCCCUAACCUUGAGAAACUAAUUCUUAAGGAUUGCAUUAAUUUGGUUGAGGUUGAUGAAUCCAUUGGAAACUUGGGGAAACUUGUUUUCUUGAAUCUAAAAGACUGCAAAAGUCUUAUGAAGCUUCCAAAAAGAAUGAGCAUGAUGAGGUCUCUUGAGGAACUUAUUCUUACCGGUUGCUCAAAGCUUGUGCUUCAUGAUAGUGCCAUGGUUAUUUAUAUUCACACUACAUCAAGGGAUAUGAAUAAACUUAGACUGUUGUCAACUAUAUCAUGGACACCAAUCAGGUUUUGGUGGAUGUGGGCAUGGCCAAGAAAGACUCUUCAAUCAACCAGUUUCUCACUGGCAAGUUUACCACGUUGUUUGGGAAGCUUAAGUCUGUCUUACUGCAACGUGUCAGAGGUUCCCAAUGAUUUAUGUACACUAUCUUCCUUGAAAUAUUUGAAUCUAAUUGGUAACUCAAUUUUGUGCCUACCACAAAACAUGAAGAGUCUUAUUAUGCUCGAGACUCUUUUGUUAGAUAAAUCCAUAAACCUUGAAAUGCUUCCAGAGCUGCCCCCAAGGUUGAAGAGGUUGGAAACAAAAUAUUGUACAUCAUUGAAAAGAUUAACAAAUUUACCAUUGUUCAGAUCAUUAGAAUCACUGUUUUGGGGUUGCGAGCAAUUAGUUGAAAUUGAAAGCUUGUUGAAUAUAAAACCGUCGAGAAGCGCUGAUAUAGAAAUGAGAAGAUAUAUGGGCCCGUUCAAUUUGAAAUCCAUAACAAGCACUGAUGUUGAAAUGAUCAACUACUUGACCAGUACAACUAGGAAGGUUCCUGUCCAGGUCUUUCUCUCUGUCUCCUCUCUCAUGUAUAGUUGUUCUAAUUAUUAUAUCUAUGAACUAGUUGGGUCUAACUGUUUGAAUAAUUAAAUUUGAAUUGUGCAAUCUUGAUGAAGCAGGGAGUCUAUGAAUGUGGCGUAUAUAGCAUUUUCCUUCCUGGAAGCAAGAUUCCAGAUGGAUUUGGCUUCACAACAAUAUAUGGAUCAGCGCUGUCGGCUAUUGCAUCUUCACAUCCUAAUCUCAAAAUCCAAGCCUUGAAUGUAUGUGUUUUAUAUGCAAUAGAACCGGGCUUGGCAAUUGAUGACUAUCUUGUUAGUGCUCAGCAUUUGAUUAAAGUCAGUAAUCAGACCAAGGGUCUUAUGUGGACCUAUUCCCCAGUCACAGUAGGUUUUCCAACUGAGAAGGAAGAUAUGUUAUGGCUAAGCCAUUUUCAAAUUGGGAACAAUGAAUUGGAGUAUGGGGACCAAAUACGUGUUUCGGUGGAGAUGCAUGAUUUUUGGAUAAAGGAGUUCGGAAUCCAGCUUGUGUACGAGCAGGAAAGACCUCCUUCUAGCCAGAAUAAUGUUGUUGCUGGAGAUGUGUCAAUGUCAGCAUCAGAGUACCAAAUGUGGACAGGAAAAUACUUUAAUCAUAGGCACCGUACUCAUCAAACUCAAUUCCGAAAGAGACAGGAGAAUCCAGCACAUAUUGAAUUUUCGUUUGAGCCAAAGCAUCAGCUUCAUACUUAUUCAAGGCCCAAAGACCAUUGAAAAUAUUUUGAAACUUAGAGCAUGUCCAGCAGAUUCCCCAUCUACUUCUACUCACCUAUUUUGGAGAAAAUGAAGAGAAACCUCCCUCCUUAGUUCUUUUUCCAACAUCAUUCGUUCAUGGUUGGAAGGAAAGAUCAGCAUCAAUUAUCUUGGUGAGUGUCGUCUUUUUGUUCUUUCUUGUUAUAUCUUUCUGAAUAUAAACUCAUGGCUUUGUUGGAUUUGUUGCUCUUUGUUUAUUGCUUUGAUUUGUUAAUUGAAUGAAUAUAUUAAACAAAAGGAGGGGAAAGGCCUACGAACUCGUGUAGUUGAUGCAUGUAGUACUCAGUACUACUCUUUCAGACAAUAAUCCUAACUUUAAAUCCCACUUAACGUCAUAUAAUUUGGUGUCUGUAGUAUGUUUGGUGGUCUAGAUCACUCAUUUGAGAUAUACAUGUGAACCAAAAAGCUGUUUAACUUGAAAAAAGGGGAAAUUUAGCAUGCCCCUGAACUUUUAAAAUGUUGGGAGCAGCUCAGGUUUGAGUCCCAGCAAAGGCAUGCUUUUCUUAAUUUUUGCACGACUUACAGCUGGUGCGAGGGACCUCUGCGCGUUAACUAUGUGUCAGUCUGGGUCCAUUUAUUCCCUAGCCAUCAGUGUGCUGUCUAACUUUGUCUUUUAUAUUCACAAAAAAGCAUUGGCAGUCUUGACAGUGUCGAAACUGUUUACCGUGUUCAAACCGUGUGCAGGGCGUGUCAGCAUGUCAGAGUGUCUGACACUUUGAGGUUUGGGAGUGUCCGUGCAACCUAGGCUUCAAGAACGAGAUGGACAAGGUGGAGAAGUGGAGAAGAGCGCUUACUGAUGUUGCAAAUCUGGGAGGGAUGGUUCUAGAAGAUCGGUAAUUUCGUAAAACAUUUUCUUUAAUUUGAAAUUAUUAUCUAUAUAUGACCUUUUAUAACUUGUUUAUUAGGCACAUUAUUGUUAGCUUAUAGGGUAUGAGUGGCAGUUUAUCCAAGAUAUUGUUCAAGAGGUUGGAAGUAAGCUGGAUCGCGUGGCAGUAAAUGUUGCUCCCUAUGAUGUUGGAAUCGAUAUUUGUGUGCACGGAAUCAACAGAUGGUUAGAAGAUGAUUCGGGUGAUGCUGGUGCAGCGGUUAUCUAUGGGAUGGGUGGAAUUGGCAAAACCACCAUUGCCAAAGCUGCUAAUAAGACGAACCUUGCAAAAUUUUAAGGAAACGGCAGCUUUCUUGCAGAUAUUGGCUUGCAAAUAAAUCUUCUUUCCGAUAUCCAAAGGGUGAAAGUAAAGAAAAUAAGCAAACAUGAAGGACUAAUCAAGAUUAUGCAUGCUGUAGGUUGCAAUAGAGUUCUUAUAGUUCUUGAUGAUGUGAACCAUUUGGACCAAUUCAAUGCAAAUCUUGGAAUGUAUUGAAUUUUGAAUGUCUAUAUUUUGUAUUAUGUAAAACUAAGUACAAUGAAAGCUCAUAUAAAUGAGCGGAAGAAAGGAAAAGAAAACAGAAGCCGAAAGAAAGGGAGGACAAUCAGAAAACAUGGAGCAGAAAACAUGGAAAAGUAAAGGUGAGGAAAACAUGGAAAAGUAAGAAAACAUGGAGCAGAAAACAUGGAAAAGUAAAGGUGAGGAAAACAUGGAAAAGUAAAGGUCACCAUACACCCAUGCUUUCUUCCAAUACUCCCCCUCAAGCUGGAUCAAAGGGAUUAAUUGAUCCAAGCUUGAACAAAAGACGUUGAAAAUCAGCAGAGGGUAAUCCUUUUGUGAAAAUAUCCGCAAGUUGAUCAUGACUGCGCGUGUAGUGAGUGUCGAUCACCUUGGACUGAACUUGAUUUCUGACGUAGUGACAAUCAACUUCAAUAUGUUUAGUUCGCUCAUGGAAUACAGGAUUCGAUGCAAUGUGCAUCGCGGCCUGAUUAUCACAGUGUAGGGACAUGGGUUGUUGAUGAGGAAAACCUAAAGUCAACAGAAGGAUUUUGAGCCAAAUAAGUUCACAAGCAGUGGACGCCAUAGCACGAUACUCUGCCUCUGCACUAGAGCGUGCAACAACACUUUGUUUCUUGCUUUUCCAGGUAACUAGGUUGCCUCCCACAAACGUACAAAACCCAGUGGUAGACUUGUGAUCGAGAGAAUUGCCUGCCCAGUCAGCAUCGGUAUAGCCUGAGAUCUGAGUGUGACUAUUGUUGCGCAUAAGAAUUCCUCUACCAAUGGAACCCUUAAGAUAACGUAGCACACGAUGAACAAUCUUCAAAUGAUCCAUGCUUGGAGAGUGCAUAAACUGGCUAACAAUGCUGACAGCAUAUGAUAUAUCAGGACGUGUGAUAGUCAGAUAAAUGAGUUUGCCAACCAUUCUUUGAUAGUAACUUAAAUUGGGAACUGGAUCACCGUGAGUUUUUAGCUUCAAGUUGCUAUCCAAGGGGGUACGAGCAGGCUUGCAAUCUGUCAUUUUUGCUUCGUGAAGAAGAUCCAUGACAUACUUGCGUUGGUUGAGGAAGAAACCCUUGUGAGAGUGUGCCAUCUCGAUGCCCAGAAAGUAUUUGAGAGUGCCAAGAUCCUUGAUAGCAAACUUGUUGUUGAGAUACUGUUUAAGAGCAUUAAUCUCUGACAUAUUAUCACCUGUCACAAUUAGAUCAUCAACAUAAAUGAGCACAACUAGUUUACCCACUAAGCUGGAACGAACAAAUAGGGAAGAAUCCGCAAUACUUCGACAAAAACCAACCCUUUCCAGAACAUGACUGAGUUUGGCAUACCAUGCACGUGGACUUUGCUUGAGACCAUAAAUGGAUUUAUGGAGUUUGCACACCAUUUCUGGAUUGUUUGAUUGAGGAUGACCUGGGGGUAGCUUCAUGUAAACCUCUUCUUCAAGUUCACCAUGCAGGAAAGCAUUUUUAACAUCCAUUUGAAAGAGAGGCCAUGCAUUGUUAAUUGCAACCGACAACAAUACUCUAACAGUGUUCAUUUUUGCCACCGGAGCAAAUGUCUCUUUAUAAUCGACGCCAUAGGUUUGUGUAAAACCUCGAGCAACCAAGCGAGCCUUAUUCCUUUCGAUUGUGCCAUCUGAAUGAAACUUAGUUUUGUACACCCAACGACUCCCCACUGCCUUCUUUCCUUUUGGAAGUUUCACUAUAGUCCAUGUGUUAUUUUCAUGGAGGGCUUGAAGCUCCUCUGCCAUAGCAUUUCUCCACUCACUGUGAAGAUUGGCUUCUUGAAAACUUUGAGGUUCUCGAGCUUCAUUAAUGGCACUUAGGAAUGUAGCAAAAGAAGAUGAGACUUUGCUAUAAUCAAUAACAUCAGUCACGGCAUACCUGGCAGUGUAGGUCACAUAAUCAUGCAACUUGGAUGGAAGUUUCCUCUCUCGUGCAGGAUUGCGACGAACUAUAGGAGAUUGAACUACAGGUAUUUGAACAACAUCAUGGUUGGAAGGAUCACUGGAGGGUGCAGUGUGAAUCUCUGAUGAGGAAGGGUUUUCAUCUUCAAGAUGUUCCACCGAGUGAAGGUUAACAUCAUCCGGCACAUGAUCACUAGGAGUGCAUGUUGCAUCUUCUCCGUUUGGAUAUGGAAAAGGAAAUAAGUCCAUCAAAUGCUCCCCCUGUCUAGAGUAAUCCAGUGAUUGUGAGAAGUAAGGAACAUGUUCUUCAAAUUUAACAUCCCUUGAAACAACCAUUUUUCUAGUUGUUGAAUUAUAGCACUUGUAACCUUUUUGGGUAGAUGAAUAACCUAGAAAGACACAUUUGGCAGCCCUUGGGUCUAGCUUGUCACGAUUUUGAGUUUGAAUGUGAACAAAGCAUGUACACCCAAAGACUCUCAAAUGGGAAAAGUUGAUCUUUCUAUUUUUCAAGACCUCAUAAGGUGAUUUAAAAUUCAACACUUUACUAGGCAAUCUAUUGAUGAGAUAUGCCGCAGUAAGGACUCCUUGAGACCAAAACUUUUUAGGCACAUUCAUGUGAAACAUAAGAGCUCUAGUCUUCUUAAGUAGAUCUCUAUUCUUCCUCUCGGCCACCCCAUUUUGUUGAGGUGUUCCAACACAGCUUGUUUGGUGUAAUAUACCAUGCGUGCUCAAGUAGUGUGACAUGUUAUGAGACAUAUAUUCUGUGCCGUUAUCUGAUCGUAAAAUAUGAAUUUUUGAAGCAAAUUGGGUGGCCACAAGUCUAUGAAAAUCUUGAAAAACUUCCAUCACUUCACUUUUAAAUUUCAAAAGAUACAACCAAGUAAUCCUUGUGAAAUCAUCCACAAAAGUUACAAAAUAUUUGUAUCCAUCAAAAGACUCUAUAGUUGGUCCCCAAACAUCAGAAUGCACAAUUUCAAAAGGGUUACUAGCCCUAGACAAAGAGGAAGUAAAUGGUAAUCUAGUAAACUUAGAAAAAUGACAAACAUCACAAGGACUUGUAACUUUGCACAUAUUUGGGAACAAGGUGGAUAGAACUUUUUCAGAAGGAUGUGCUAGGCGUUGGUGCCAAAGUUGUUGUUCUUGAGCUAAGCUUGAAGUGACUUGAAAAACCUUGGGAACUUGAAUAUGCUUGGAAAGAUAGUAGAGACCAUUUAAGAAAAAUCCUUCACCAAUCAUCUUCUUGGUGACUACAUCCUGAAAGAUCACAUUUUUGGGAGAGAAAAUGGCAAGACAAUUUAAUGAGUUUGUGAUCUUGCUAACAGAUAAAAGUUGAAAAGGGAAUGAGGGAACAUAAAGAGCCUCAGACUCGACAUCACUUGAGAUCAAAUGUAUUUUUCCUUUUCCCACAACCAUAGCAUUUUUUCCAUUGGCAACUGACACUUGGGAUGGAAUAGAAAAAUUUUCAAAUUUAUGCAAGUUUGUAGAUUUGUUAGUCAUAUGAUCAGUGGCUCCAGAAUCUAUAAUCCAAUAAUCAUGCACAUUACCAAUGUUGAGAACAGUUGAGAAGGAGUGUAAGAUACCUAGGAUGUCCCUUUGUACCACGCCUUCAUUUCCAGCCAGGAAGCCAGCAAACUGUCCUAGUAGUGCAGUUUGAUUGUUGUCACACUGAUUUAGUGGUCCUUCACUAUCUCCAAGACCUUGUUUCUUGUGAAGAAACAUAGCAAACUCGUUGAUCAGUGCAGCUGGAUUAGUGGUGAACUUCAGUGCUCUAUUAGAAGAAGUUGUGGCAACAUGAUUUGCCUUGUAAGAAGGGUUGUACGAGCCUUUCGAGACACCUUUGUUAUCCCUAGGAAACUUUGGUUUUAACUCUGGAUGAAGAAUCCAGCAUCGAUCUCUUGAGUGCCUACCAGCAUCACAAUGGCUACAUUUUAAGCCAGUUUUCUUUCCUUUGUAGCCUCUCUCCUCACCAAGUUUUUGGUUAGAAAAGUAAGCCCUAGCUUCUGGUAUAUUUGCCUUCAUGUCCAUGGUCAUGACUUUCCUUCGAACCUCUUCUCUUUGAAUUGUGGCACACACACUUGAAAAAGAAGGCAGGUCGGGAUUCAUGAGGAUAUGACUUCGAAGAUCUUCGAAUUCAGGACUCAGACUUGCUAGGAGUUGGAAUAUUUUGUCUUCCUCGGCUCUUUUAGUUAGCACAGCAGCGUCGAUGGUGUGUGGUCGAUACACAUUCAGCUCGUUCCAUAUAGUGGUCAGCUUUCCAAGAUGUUGCACAAAUGGCUUUCCUUCCUGUUGCAAACCAGCAAUGUCCUUCUUUAACUGAAACACUCUAGCCGCAUUGUUCUGAUUUCCAUACAUUUCCUUGAGAUUUUUCCAAAGAGUCAUGGAGGAUUCAGCAUAGCUAAAAAUUUCUGCAAUCUUACGAUCCAUGGAAUUGAGUAGCCACGACAUGACCAACUGGUCUUUGCAUAGCCAAGCAUCAUACUCCGGUGAGGUAGUCUCAGGCAUUGGAAUAGCACCAUUAACAUAACUAAGCUUUGAUCGUCCUCCCAGAGCAAGAGAAACUGCUCUCUCCCAUGAAAGAUAGUUAAACUCAUUUAGCAAGACAGAACUAAGACGUUGAUUUGGGUUGAUAUCAAUAUCUGAGUGUGGUGAUGGUGGAGUAGCAUGAAAGCCGUCUCCUUCCAAAUUUACUAAGAUUUCUUCAGCCAUGAUUGAAGGACAAGAAGCUCACAAAUCCCUCAAGAGAACAUCACAGAGACAGGCCGGUUAGGGUCACUGCUCUGAUACCAUAUUGAAUUUUGAAUGUCUAUAUUUUGUAUUAUGUAAAACUAAGUACAAUGAAAGCUCAUAUAAAUGAGCGGAAGAAAGGAAAAGAAAACAGAAGCCGAAAGAAAGGGAGGACAAGCAGAAAACAUGGAGCAGAAAACAUGGAAAAGUAAAGGUGAGGAAAACAUGGAAAAGUAAGGAAACAUGGAGCAGAAAACAUGGAAAAGUAAAGGUGAGGAAAACAUGGAAAAGUAAAGGUCACCAUACACCCAUGCUUUCUUCCAAUAGAAUGCGAUAGUGUUUUCACCCGGGAAGUAAAGUUACCGUAACAACUAGACGUAAAAGGCUCAUGAUAUUUAUCCAGUAUUUGAGAUUAAAGAACUGAGUGAAUAUGAAACACUGGAGCUUUUCAAGCGACAUGCCUUCGGGCAAGCCAAUCCCAUUGAAAGUUACUUGGAGUCAUGAACCUCGACCAAAUUGAAGCAAUCUUUGAGAGUCAAUUGCUAAUGGUUUGGGACUUCUGACAAGUUGGGGGUUGUCAUAAGGCCAUGUGAGUGGCUGAGAUUAACGGUUCAGCCUUGGAAGGGAACCAGGGUAUGUUCUAAUCUCUCUUUCUCUCUCUCUCUCUCUCUCUCUCUCUCUCUCUCUCUCUCUCUCUCUCAAAAUACACACAAUCAAAAAUAAAUUUCAGUGAAAUUAAACUCUGUAUUCAUAGCAACUAAUGACUUCUCUUUGACACAGUUUCUUAGAAGAUUGAAAAUUCUUAAUCUCAGUCAUUCUCAUGGCCUUAGGACAACAUUUGUCCGAACUCCCUAAGACCAUCUCCAACCCUUGGACUAAAAGCUAAAUUUUUUAGUCCGGAAAAUUUAGCUUUUAGCCCAGAAACAACUUUUCUGCUCCAAUCCUUCUGGUCUAAAAUUUUAGCCCGGGAUUAUUAAAGAAUGAAUUUAGGCUAAUUUUUUUCUUAAAUUAACUUCUUUUUUUUUUAAAUAAUUAUGUAGACUAUCGUAAAUUAAUUUUAUAAACAUUUUAAUCUAAAAAUAUUUAAAUUCCGAUAAAUAUUGAAAAAUCACUAAAUUUUUCCACAAAGCAAGCCUUCAUUUUUUUUAAAUUAUUUUAGCCGUUGGAUUUAAAUUUGGGCCAUUAGAUCUUUUUUUUUUUACCAUUAGAUUUGAUUAUAUUCGAUCUCAGCCGUUGGAUUCAAUGUAUUUUAAAAUAACAUUUAAAAAAAAUUAAAUUUGAAUCUGGACCGUUGGAUCAACCAACGGUCCAAUAAUGUCAACCGUCCGAUGAACAAAAGAGUCGUUGGGCUUAUAAUUGCUUCCGACAGCAGCCCUGACAGUGGGUCCCACUCUGUCGGGCGCUGAAGGCUAACGCCCGCGUGGGGCGAGUGGUGUGAGUGACCGGGCCGAAAGUGGGCUGGGAAAGAGAGAGUCAACACGUUUGUAGGCUAUUUCUUGGGGGGAAUUUGGCCCUCAAUUGGCAUUUGGCUUUUAGCCCAAAGAUUUGGCUUGGGUUGGAUUGGAUUUUGGGGGAGGGGAAUUGGGGGGAGAAAUUUGGCAUUUAGCCCAAGGUUGGAGAUAGUCUAAAGGAUUGCAUUAAUUUGAUUGGAAACUUGGGGAAACUUAUUUUCUUGAAUCUAAAAGACUGCAAAAGUCUUAUGAAGCUUCCAAAAAGAAUGAACAUGUUGAGGUCUCUUGAGGAAUUUAUUCUUACUGGUUGCUCAAAGCUUGUUCUUCAUGACAGUGCCACGGUUAUUCAUUUACAUUCUACAUCUAGGGAUAUGAAUAAACUUAGACUGUUAUCAAUUAUAUCAUCGACACGAGAAAAUUUUCCAGAUGACCGGUACAACUGUUGAGCUGGAGUUCCCCUCCAAUUACAUGAUGCCACAUACAGCUGCAUAGAUUAGUUUUGUUUAAUAAAAAAUAAAAAGAAAAAGAAAAAACUUGUAGAAGGUGUAAAGUCACCCUCCCAGCGGCCGAUCCCACCAACCCAACGGCGACUCACUUCCAAUUGACGACGACGAAAAAGAUUUCAGCUUCCUCGAGGAACCCACCGACCACAGCGCCGCACCAUUCAGAUUCGGACAAUUACGACGAUUUCGAGAACUUCUCCGAUGUCGACGAAGACGCUUUCAGGAGAUGAUGGCAGGCUUGCCAGCCCCAAGACUCCUAAGUGGGUUUAUGGCAUUUUCAGUGAUGGGGAUGGGGUGGUGGCCAUUUUCGGUGAUGGGUUGAUGCAAUUUUGGGUUUUUGAUCAAAACCCAUCAAAAUUCACCACCACUUAAUCAAAAAUCCAAAUCAAACCCCAACAAAAACAAUCAAAUUCACAAGUUUUAUCAGAGAAAGAAAAAACAAAAAAAACAUGAACAGAUGAUGGAAAAGGGUGGAAUGGAUGCGGGUGGGGCGUAAUAGAAUGGAAAAGAGAGGAAUCUGUGUUCUUCAUUUAAUUAAUUUAAAUUAUAUUCUUAAAAUAAAUGUUAAUUGUCAUUAUAAAAGAUGAUGUCAACCUAGAUGUCAGAUGUUAAUAGGUGGAACACCGGGUCAGCAAAUGUACCCGUCACGUGGAAAAAUUUCUCCAUGGACACCAAUUAGGUAUUGGUGGAUGUGGGCAUGGCCAGGAAAGACUCUUCAAUCAACGAGUUUCUCUCUGGCAAGUGUACCCCCUUUUUUGGGAAGCUUAAGUUUGUCUUACUGCAACAUGUCAGGUUUCCAAUGAUCUGUGUACACUAUCUUUGUUGAAGCAUUUGAAUCUAAUUGGUAAUCCAAUUUUGUGCCUACCACAAAAAAUGAAGAGUCUUAUUAUGCUUGAGACUCUUUUGUUAGAUAAUUGCACGAACCUCAAAAUUCUUCCAGAGCUCCCACCAAGGUUGAAGAGGUUAGAAGCAAAAUAUUGUACUUCAUUGAAAAGAUUAAGAAAUUUACCAAACUUAUUCAGAUCAUUGGAAUCACUUUUUUGGGGUUGUGAGCAUUUAGUUGAAGUUGAAAGCUUGUUGAAUAUAAAACCGCUGAGAAAUGCUGACAUAGAAAUGACAAGAUAUAUGGGCCUGUGCAGUUUGAAAUCCAUAUCAAGCACUGGUGUCGAAAGAUCUCCAUCUAGCCAAAAUAAUGUUGUUGCUGGAGAUGUGUCAAUGUCAGCAUAAGAGUACCAAAUGUGGACAGGAAAAUACUUUCUCAGUAAUCAUAGGCACCGUACUCAUCAGGCUCAGGUUCAAUGGUUCACAACUUAUUCAAGGCCCAAGGACCAUUGGAAAAUAUUGCGAGAGGAUGUCCAGCAGAUUCCCCAUCUGCUUCUCGUAAUCUGUUUUUGGCGAAAAUGAAGAGAAACAUCCUCAGUUCUUUGUCAACAUCACAUCAGUCAUUUCAUUUAUGGUUGGAAAGAAAGACCAGCAUCAUUUUCCUUGGUGAGUAUCGUCGUUUUUGUUCUUUCUUGUUCUCGUUCUGAGUAUAUACUCAUGGCUUUGUUGGAUUUGUUGCGCUUUUUGCUUAUUGUCAUAAAGAGCAAUCAAGGAAAAAAAACCGGAACAGUCUGCAUGAGUUUGUUGGAAAUUAUAUAUUAUAGUAUAAAAUAUUGUAAUAUAUAAUUUUAAUAAUUGAAUGAAAAAAUAGUGUUAACCAUAUUUCUUAGAAAUGUUAUGUUAUUUAGGUGCAUUCCCUUGUUAAAUAAUGUAUACUUAUAGAUGAAAAGUUACAUCUCCUAACAAGAAGUACUUGGGUUCUAUUUAAACUCAUGAAACCAUUAUCAUUAAAUAUAGAAAAUUAGAGUUAAUUUUUACUCUUGAGAAAUAGGGUUUCCCCACUUUGUUUCUCUCAUGCUUUGUGUGUCAAAUUCCAAGUCGUGUCUUGAGAGUACGGAAUAUAUAAAGUUCGUCAGAGUUCAAAGAUUGAAGUGUUUUGACUUCGGAUUAUAGAUUGUUGAAUCCUGAGAGAUAGACACCUACCGAACUACCAAACUACAAGCACAAGAGUAUGAGCGAUAUUCUAUCUUUAGGACAUUACAUUCAUGAAAGCCUCAAUCUCCAGGUUUAUCAGUUUUUCUAACUUUAUCUUUAGUUGUUUAUAUUAAUCUCAUACAUAAUUGAUGUCGUGAAUUUCUAUGUGAUUAUUAUUAUUAUUAGAAUUCUUGUAUUAUUUUCAUAUUUUCUAAUACUGUUCCAACAGAGUUUGCAUAUGAAGUUUUAAACCCCCUAUAGAGCAAAGCCAACUUGAGCGUAACAGCAGUGGGGCAACAUAUGUUUCUGAAAAUCCUACAGUUAGUUUCCCUCCAAAACUCCUUACAAACGAAUCUUGAGCACCUGCAUUGCCUAAUAAUUGUUUUAGCUACCAUGUUAACAGAAGCAAUAACUGUAAACGGACUAUAACAGUUGAGAAAUAUUUAAGUACCAAAAAGAGUCAGCUAUAUCAGAAAUAAUUAUGCUAGAGUUGAGUCGUUUAACUUCUCAUAUGUUAUGGCUUAGUCCUUUUAUGGCGGACUUUAACUCCGUUUUUCUAUAUUUUCAGAGAAAGUCCGCAAAACUUAAAUCCUAUUGUUCUUUUUUGGCCUUUUUCUAAUAUUUUUCUGCCUUUUUCUACUAUAGUACUACUCCAGACAAUAAUCCUAGUGGCCCAAAAUUAUAUCCUAACUUUAAAUCCCAAUUAAGGUGAUAUAAUUGGUUUUUUAUGUUUAUGCUCACUAGAAACCUCAUUGAUCUACAACGAACAAAUUGGUGCCUGUAGUAUUUGUGAUGUUCUAGAUCACUCAUUUGAGCAAUACAUGUGAACCAAAUGUGGGUAGCAGCUCAGGUUCAUGCUUUCUUAAUUUUUGCACGACUAGCAGCAGCUGGUGAGAAAAAUAUUAGAAAAAUGCCAAAUUAACUUGGGGAUGACCUAACGAGGGACCUGAGAUACUCAAGAACCCGUACCACACUUUUUCAUCUUUUUCUUUUUCUCUCUUUUUCCUUUUUGUUUUAGUCAUAUCUUUUUCUUUGCAUGCGGACCUCAUCGAAAUCAAACAAAAAUAAGAAAAAUUAAACUCAUCAUUAACUUCCAGACGAAACUUUAGACCAAGUGGCGUGAGAUUUGUCCAUGAUUCGGGUGGGGGUAGGUGGGCUGGGGUCAGUUCUCAUUAUUUACUCACACCUACACAUCUGUGCAUCCACCCCAAUUUAGAUGUUUUGGGAUCUUGGACUAGCAAUAUUUUUCAAAUAACAGAGAGGAGAUUGGAGAGAGAUGGGAGAAGGAGCGAGAGAGAAUAGUACGGUUACAUUUUAGAAUUUUUAUGACAUAAAAUACUAAUAAUGAUAAAAGUUAACUAGAGUUAUGUGAGAGGACAUAUAUCAAGCUAAAAGUGUGUGGAUAGCAUACAUCAGGAUAAGUUCGAGGCAUUUUUACUCACUGCUCUCAAGUAAUGGUGAUGGUCACAAUAUUUUUAUUACAGUUUGAUAAGUUUAAUUUUUGAAAUUUAUGUCUUCCACAGCAGAAACAGAUUACAAAUAACAAACAUACGAACAAACGGAUUACAAAUUAUUGAAUAUAUUUGACUAACAAAACAACAAAGAAACAGGAUUGUCGAGAUGACUACACUCAACUACAUACCAACUUAUUAUCCAUCUAAACAAACUACAUUUGUGGGGAGCAAAAUCUAAGAAACCCUAAUUCAAAUAGGAUAAGCCUAAAUCAUAAACUAACCAGCAAAACCAAAUAAUCAAAUAAUUAAUUUUUCAACACUCGUCAAAUUCAAAAGGAUAUAUGACAUGAGUUUGCCAACAAGUAAAUUUUAAUUUAGACAUAAUGAUGUUGAGAGUAUAAAAAGAAGGUAAAUGAGUGCUCACCGUCACUAGACAAAUAAGAUUUUCAUAUUUCAAUUACAGCAAUGAAUAAACAAAAACAACACUUUCACUCGAAGCUCCCAAACAAGCCAAUAACUCGCGUCGGCCUCAAAGACUUCACAAAACACAAACGUGUGGGCCAAAACCUCAACCAAUUUCCAAUUUUUUCUUUUCCGUGUGGACCUCAAACAUACCACCACUUUUUCUUCUUUUUCUUUUUCUAUCUUUUUUCCUUUUCUUUUUCCCCAUCUUUUCCUCACCCUCAUAUACCAAAAAGGAGAAGAAAAGAGAAAGCAAAAGAUUCGUCCUUCUUCUUCAGCUGCUCUGGUAGCAUCUCCCACCUCCUCUUCUUCAUCAACUCUUAAGACCUACGCCUGUUCAGAUCCUUGAAAAUUUGAGCAUGGUGGAGAGGAACUAUAGUUAUCAACUUAAGGUUGUGAGUGAGCAAAAUUUGAUUUGUGAAAUCGUCCAUUUCACAGUGUCUUUUUGAAGAAACUAGUUGGGACUUUCAUCCAACAGCUUUCGGCAUCUUACAAUACACAACUCUGGUGUGUGCGAGGUACCUCCAAGCUCCCCUCUUGUGAAAACAUACAUCUGCUUGUAUUAUUAACUUUCAAUUGAAAUCUUCAUGGCCGAUGAGUCAAAUGCAUUAACUUUGGAUCCUCUUGCUUUCUUAUCUUUAUUUUUCUUUUUAAUAUUUUCCUAUUAAAACUAAGAUCUAAAGGCUUUAAAUUCAUGGAAAUUAUUUUGUAAGACUUCAAUUUUUUUUCUUUUCAAAACGUGAACUAAAUCCAUUUCAUGAAAAAUGAUCUAGUCCUUUUCGCUUUUUUCUUCUUAAAAUAAAUAUGAGUCAUUAUAUUAAUAAUUAAUUUAUUAAAAAUUGAUGGAAUAUAUUUUUGUAUAAAGUUUUAAUAUGAAUUUCUUUUAGGAUUACACAUAAGAGCAGCUCCAGCCCGAGGGACAGGCUGACGAACAGGGCUUGAAUGCCCGAGUGAUGAAAGCCCAGCGUGUGCUGGCGAGCGAGCCCUAGCAGGCCCGAGGGAGAGGCCCGUGGAUUCGUGCCGGCCCGAGCGCCCGAAGGCUGUCUGACGUGGGCUGACGUCAGGGCGACGUCGAAGGCUGUCUGACGUGGGCUGACGUCGGGCGACGUCAGUGGCACCUCUCUCUCUCUCGCUGCCUGCGAUUGAGGCAUUCCUUCUCUGAAACCUUCACAUUGUGAUGGCGUCGAAGGGUAAGGGGAUCGCCGCAGGAGGUGGAUUCUCCGGCGGGAAGCGUAAGCACGAUGACAAGUCCGGUGGUGGCCGGAAGAAGAGCAACCCCGGCGUCCUUAGAUUCUUCGAAGACGUCGCUGACGAAGCCGACGACGGCGACGAGAGUGACUUCGAUGAUGGUAUAUUCCGUCUCUGAUGUCUUUUAUGGUCGCAUUUUCCAUCUGGGUUCGGAUUUCUAGGGUUUUUGAAAUGGGUAUUUUUUUUGGAUCUUGCUUUGUGCGUAUUGACUGAUUAAACCUUUAUUAAUUUCCUGCAUUUCCUUUGUAUAUUUGAAUUUCUGGCUUUUGUGGUUGCUUGUGGAGUUUCAAUAUUUUUUUUUUGAAGUGUGUAGUUAGGUUGCUUGCUUAAUUUCUUUAACUUGUCUGCUGACCAUAAUGUAAAUAAUAACGCGUGACGCAACGAUUAAAAAUUUUAUCCAAAAUUACAAUAAAAUUAUUUUGUAUUAUUUUAUAAAUAAAAAAAUACUAAUAUUUUAUUACUAAUUGCCAGCUAUUUACUGUAGGGGUAGAGAUGCAAAAUGUGGUUACUGUUUAUUAAAGACAAUUACUGUUUAUUGGAUGGAUAGCAUAUUUGAUAGCCCUAUGGGGCCUUAGACACGGUGUAACUGCUCUAAUGUGUCGUUAGCUUUUUACAUACCAAAUUUAUGAUAAUAUAAAUGUACCGAUAGUUUUCUAUGUAUUUAAAUAAAAAUUACAUAACAUACCAAAACUAAUUUGUACACAAAUUUGAAUUACAUAGUAUGCCAAUAACCUACUAAAUUAUUGACACGUUACAUUUAGUAAAUAAAAGCAUUGAUAUAUAUAUAUAAUAUCGUUUAGAAUUUUAAAGUACGUUGGUACUUUUAAAAUAUCACUUUUGAUUUUUUUUGAUAAACAAUUCAACUUUUUUUGUUUUUAUAGAACUUUUAUUGUUUUUUAUUCUUUUGAAAUAUAUUGAAAUAAAAAGAUAUAAAUUAACAAUAUAUUGAAAAAAAACCCUUAGAUAUUUGGUCUAAGAAAUUCAAAAACCGAGCAUCUAGAUCAAAAUGCCCCCCCCCCCCUAAAUUAUUUGGUGGUUAAGAGCCCUAAAUGAGCUCCUCACUAAAACUUAGAGAGUAUUUGAAAAAUUCCAUCUCGAAUCAGACCUUCAUUCCUAAUACAAGUAAGCAUACUAGAGCCAAGUUACAUGUACAUUUCUAACAAAAGUUUAGUCCAUUUUUACCACACAAAAAAAAAGGAAAUAAAAUAACCAAUAAUAUUCUUGCAUGACGAAUUAUUCUUACUAGACACCAAUUUGUUUUUUAUUUUUUCCUUCUGAGUGCUACUCGAGACUCCAACUUAUUAGUUUUUGCAUCAAUUUUUGAGAUCCCAAAUGCCGUGCCAAUGUUUCAACGCGAUUUCUAUUCACAUUUUACAACUAAGAAGAAUUUGCCUUGUGACUUGGUAACCAAUAAUUGGUCUCUUGUACUAUUAUUAUGUUUAUCAUUUCCUACAUAUUUCCAAAAUUAGACCUGUAAUAUCAUUUGCAUCUCAGUGUAAAAUCCGAUAUGUUUGGUAGCUGGAGAAUAUAUUCUCAAUUUGCAUUCCAAUUUGUAUAUAAUAACUCUUCUUCAUGCAUUCACUGCUACAGAUAGACUCUAUUCAAUAGCUGCAAUGAGCAACGAGCAGCAGAAUCCUUCUUCGUCUUCUAACCGGUGCACAUAUGAUGCAUUCUUGAGUUUCAGAGGCGCAGAUACACGCAAGGGCUUUACAGAUCACCUCUACAAUGCUUUGAAGUUAGCAGGAAUCCACACUUUUAGGGAUGAUGAUGAAAUUGAGAGAGGAGAAAACAUUGCACAGGAGCUACAGACAGCAAUACAAGAGUCACAAGUAUCAAUCAUUGUUUUCUCCAAGGACUACGCCUCUUCCAGGUGGUGCCUGAAUGAACUUGCUAUCAUCAUGGAACGUAAAAGAACAGAUGGACACAUGGUUAUCCCAGUUUUCUAUUAUGUGGAACCAUCAGAUGUCAGGAAGCAGACGGGCAGUUUUGCAGAAUCAUUUACUAGACAUCAAGAACAAUUCAAGGACGAGAUAGACAAGGUGGAGGAGUGGAGGCGAGCUCUUAGAGAUGUUGCAGACUUGGGAGGGAUGGUUUUAAAAGACCGGUAAUUUUCAUUCUCUCCUAUAUUCAGUCAAGUAGAUCAGAUGCUAGUCUCAAGCUUGUGAAAAUUUUAGUUUUUUUUUUUUUUGAAAAAAUAAAUAAAUAACUUGCUUGUGUUUUUUCUUUUUGUAUGAUAUAUUUUUAUAUCAAUAACAUAUAGGUACGAGUCGCAGUUUAUCCAAGAAAUUGUUGAAGCUGUUGGAAAAAAACUGGACUACAUGACAAAUUGGAGACUAAGAGUUGAGCCCUAUGUGAUUGGAAGAGAUUAUCAUGUGAAAAGACUAAACAUGUGGCUGGAAGAUGGAUCAAAUGAUGUUGGAGUAGCUGUCAUCCAUGCAAUGGGUGGAAUAGGCAAGACCACCAUUGCUAAAAUUGCUUAUAACCAGAACUUCAAUAAAUUUGAAGCUAGCAGCUUUCUUUCAGAUAUUAGGGAAACUUCCGGACAAGCCAAUGGUUUUGUUCGCUUGCAAAGGAGACUUCUUUCAGAUAUCCAAAAGAGGAAAAUGGAAAAAAUAGACGGGCCUGAAGGUCUAGUAAAGAUCAAACGGGUUGUACGUUGCAAAAGAGUUCUUAUUGUUCUUGAUGAUGUGGAGAACUCGGAGCAGUUCAAUGCAAUUCUUGGAAUGCGAGACUGGUUCUAUCCUGGAAGUAAAAUUAUAAUAACAACUAGGCAUGAACAUUUGUUAAAGGCUCAUGAAGUUGUAAGGUUUAAGGUUGAAGGAUUGCAUGAGGAUGAAUCACUUAAGCUUUUCAGUUGGCACGCCUUUGGACAACCCCGUCCUCAAGAAGGUUACAUGGAGCUUUCAAGACCCAUAGUAGAACAUUGUGGAGGGGUUCCAUUAGCUCUUAAAGUUCUGGGAUCUUCUCUAUUUGGAAAAACAGCAGAUAUAUGGGAAAAUGCAAUACACAACUUAGACGAGUUUACUGAGGGAAAAAUUCGAAAGAUUCUUUGCAUAAGUUUUGAUUCUUUACAAGAUCAUGAUAAACGUUUAUUCCUCAAUAUAGCCUGUUUCUUCGUGGGAAAGAACAAGGAUUUUACAACUACAAUCCUUGACGAAUGUGAUUUUGCCACAAAGGUUGGACUUCAACGUCUGGUUGAUAGAUGUCUUGUGGAAAUUAAUGUCUACAACAAGUUAACCAUGCAUCAAUUGCUUCAAGACAUGGGAAGGGCAAUAAUUCGCGAAGAAUCACCUGAGGACCCUGGAAAACGCACUAGACUGUGGCAUAAAGAUGCAAUUAACGUUUUGAGAAAAUUAACGGUAAGAUACAUGAUCUUUGUCUAUAUAUAUUUGCAAUGGUGUUCUGCAUGUGAUUAGUAACUUAUCCAGUCCUCUUAUUUGUAAGCAGGGUACGAGAAGUAUCAAGGGCCUCAUGCUCAACUUUCCCUCAACAGAUUCAUCCCCAGUAUUAAAUGAGGAAGGUUUCGAAACAAAGGCAUUUACAGAGAUGCUCAAUCUUGAACUACUUCUGCUUGAUAAUGUAAAGUUGAGUGGAAGCUAUGAAGAUUUUCCAAAAAAUUUAAUAUUGCUGUCUUGGCGAGGAUUCUCUUUAAAAUCAAUACCAGCCAAUUUUUGUUUGCGAAAUCUAGUUGUUCUUGACUUACGGAAGAGCAGUCUGCAACAUGUUUGGAGAGGAACCAAGGUAUGUUCUAAUUUCUCUCUCUCUCUCUCUCUCUCUCUCUUAAUACACACAAAUAAAAAUAGAUUUCAGUGAAAUUAAACUGUAUUCAUAGCAACUAAUGACCUCUCUUUGAUACAGAAUCUUAAAAGAUUGAAAAUUCUUAAUCUCAGUCAUUCACAUGGCCUUAGGACAACCUCUGAUUUGUCCAUGCUCACUAACCUUGAGAAACUAAUUCUUAAGGAUUGCAUUAAUUUGGUUGAUGUUGAUGAAUCCAUUGGAAACUUGGGGAAACUUGUUUUCUUGAAUCUAAAAGACUGCAAAAGCCUUACGAAGCUUCCAAAAAGAAUGAUCAUGUUGAGGUCUCUUGA